rnacentral:rRNA from 1 species
UACGGGGGGAGCAAGCGUUGUUCGGAUUUACUGGGCGUAAAGGGCGCGUAGGCGGCGGGUCAAGUCGAGUGUGAAAGCCCCGGGCUCAACCUGGGAAUUGCGCUCGAGACUGGUCUGCUUGAGUUCGGGAGAGGAGCGUGGAAUUCCCAGUGUAGAGGUGAAAUUCGUAGAUAUUGGGAAGAACACCGGUGGCGAAGGCGGCGCUCUGGACCGAGACUGACGCUGAGGCGCGAAAGCGUGGGGAGCAAACAGG